CCUACGGGAGGCUGCAGUGAGGAAUAUUGGUCAAUGGACGCGAGUCUGAACCAGCCAAGUAGCGUGAAGGAUGACUGCCCUCGGGGUUGUAAACUUCUUUUAUAUGGGAAUAAAAUGUUCCACGUGUGGGAUUUUGUAUGUACCAUAUGAAUAAGGAUCGGCGAACUCCGUGCCAUCAGCCGCGGUAAUACGGAGGAUCCGAGCGUUAUCCGGAUUUAUUGGGUUUAAAGGGAGCGUAGGGGGAUUGUUAAGUCAGUUGUGAAAGUUUGCGGCUCAACCGGAACAUUGCAGUUGAAACUGGCAGUCUUGAGUACAGUAGAGGUGGGCGGAAUUCGUGGUGUAGCGGUGAAAUGCUUAGAUAUCACGAAGAACUCCGAUUGCGAAGGCAGCUCACUGGACUGCAACUGACACUGAGGCUCGAAAGUGUGGGUAUCAAACAGGAUUAGAUACCCUUGUAGUC
rnacentral:rRNA from 1 species